CGCCUUGCCAGCCCGCUCAGAAACUCAAAGGAAUUGACGGGGCCCGCACAAGCGGAGGAGCAUGUGGUUUAAUUCGAUGAUACGCGAGGAACCUUACCUGGGCUCGAACGUAAGAUGACUGUAGGUGAAAGCUUACAUCUCUUCGGAGCAUUUUACGAGGUGCUGCAUGGUUGUCGUCAGCUCGUGCCGUGAGGUGUCGGGUUAAGUCCCAUAACGAGCGCAACCCCUACCUUUAGUUGCCAUCAGGUUAAGCUGGGGACUCUAAAGGAACUGCCUACGCAAGUAGUGAGGAAGGCGGGGAUGACGUCAAAUCAGCACGGCCCUUACGUCCAGGGCUACACACGUGCUACAAUGGCCGAUACAGAGGGCAGCUACCUGGUGACAGGAUGCAAAUCUCCAAAGUCGGUCUCAGUUCGGAUCGGAGUCUGCAACCCGACUCCGUGAAGUUGGAUUCGCUAGUAAUCGCGCAUCAGCCAUGGCGCGGUGAAUACGUUCCCGGGCCUU
rnacentral:rRNA from 1 species